UUUUUCCCUUAUAAAAUAAUUACUGUAGUCAAUAGUAGGCUAUUUAUUGUUGUUUUUAACAUCCAUACUUGGCAAAAUUAAAAGUUGUCAUCUUAUGUUAGUCCCCAGUUGUUUUCUUUGAAACUGUACUAAACUCUAAAAAUCUAGAAUGGGAACUACUACUAUUGAAAUUAUCAGUGAGAACUUCUGUGAUUUUCCUUUCCAUCAAGCCCAGGGCUUAGAGGGAGGCAUGAGUUGUAACUCACUGCCUUAGUUUUAUUUAGGAAAACUGAAGCUUCAUAGCAGCUUUGAGUGAGCUGGAAAGAGUUUUCUCGCAUCUAAGACAUUUUCUUUAAAGGAUAAAUUGUACAUCCUGGUUUCCAUCAAUCUUCAAGGAGCUGGAUUAAAAUAUCAUUGACUGCUGAAAUACAUAUUACAACAUAGUUCCUCAAAGUAGUAUCUGUCAUGAUUUAAUUAUUGCUUCAUCUGAAUCCCUCUCACAUUGAAGAUUUACUCUAUUUUGUAAAAUUUAAUUUAGCAUCAUUGGGUUAUUUAAAAAAAUAUUUCUUAAUUCCAUUAUCCAUUUCCAUAACCUUCAGUCAAAAGAUUUAGGAUUAAACGCUCAUGUCACUGAGAAUCCGUAUUUGUAAUUGGCAAAAUCAUCCAGUAUUCCAGGAUCACUAGAAGUAAUGUGAAGUUGAUAAAAUUGAAAAAUGUCCUAUGUGAUUUGACACAGACUUGAGAAAAUACGGGGUCCCUGUGAGUUCGGUCCUAGGUGAGUUAUGGUGCAUUUGAUGCUCUGUUGUUUUCUUCCUUCUUUCUACUUUCCAGUGAAAUCAGAUGAGUUACAGACCAUCAAGAAAGAAUUAACCCAGAUCAAAACUAAAAUUGACUCCUUGCUAGGGCGCCUGGAGAAGAUUGAGAAACAGCAGAAGGCGGAGGCAGUUUCUACAGAUAAAGUGAUCUGAAAUAACGCAUGAUGCCGCAAAGCAGAAAAGAGAAACUGUGACAACCCCCAGAAAUGUGAAAGGAGGUUUCUUACUGGACAGCAGCAUCUUUGGUUCAAUUUAUAUAAAAACCCAAAUAAAUAAAAUGGACAGUAUUGCUCAGUUUUAGAAAUUCCAUUUCUUCUAUGUUUUAAGCUGUACAAUUGUCAGGUUUUUAUGGUUUAAAUUGUAAAAUGUGUUUUCCCCUUUGCUAAUUAUGUUUUUUUUUUUAGUCUUAAAAUGUGAAAGGCAUUUAUGAAUGGUAAGGGAGACACUAUAUACAAAUGUAUAUUUGUAAAAGCUAUUUUUAUGAUUAGCAUGUUUCACUGUUGAUCAUAUAUAAAGUCAGGUGAUAUUGCAAUUCUGUAUUUAAAGCUUAUUUCCAACAAUGUCAUGUAAGAAAAGAUGCAUCUUAUGCUAGUUUUUAUAAUUUAUUUAUAAUUUAUAGUUUAAAGUAAUUCAGAUCAUAAUGAUAAAAUACUUGAAAAAGUUAUAUUUCUGCCCUGUAUAAGCACCCUUUUUAUUAAUAAAGAAUGCAGAUAUUUCAGA
rnacentral:sRNA from 1 species